GGAGCGAAACGGGUGAUCGCCGCUCAUUUUUUGAGAGGAGGAAAGUCCGGACUCCAAUCGGACACGAUGACGGAUAACGUCCGCCGGUCGCGAGAUCAGGGAAAGUGCAACAGAAAAUAUACCGCCGGAAUUUUUUUUUCCGGUAAGGGUGAAAUGGCGAGGUAAAAGCUCACCACGAUUCGGGUAACCGAAUCGGUAUGGCAAACCCCAUCGGGAGCAAGAUCAAAUAGGAAUUUAGGUUGUCCGAACCGUUUGAGAUUCGGGUAGAUCGCUUGAGGAUUUCAGGUAACUGAAAUUCCAGAUAAAUGAUCGCCAUUUUGAUCCGUUCCAAUUCGAAACAGAUCAAAAAACAGAAUCCGGCUUAUAGUUUCGCUCCCACA
rnacentral:RNase_P_RNA from 1 species